rnacentral:rRNA from 1 species
GAUGAACGCUGGCGGCGUGCCUAAUACAUGCAAGUCGAGCGAAUGGAUUAAGAGCUUGCUCUUAUGAAGUUAACGGCGGACGGGUGAGUAACACGUGGGUAACCUGCCCAUAAGACUGGGAUAACCCCGGGAAACCGGGGCUAAUACCGGAUAACAUUUUGAACCGCAUGGUUCGAAAUUGAAAGGCGGCUUCGGCUGUCACUUAUGGAUGGACCCGCGUCGCAUUAGCUAGUUGGUGAGGUAACGGCUCACCAAGGCAACGAUGCGUAGCCGACCUGGGAGGGUGCUCGGCCACACGGGGACUGAGACACAGCCCAGACUCCUACGGGAGGCAGCAGUAGGGAAUCUUCCGCAAUGGACGAAAGUCUGACGGAGCAACGCCGCGUGAGUGAUGAAGGCUUUCGGGUCGUAAAACUCUGUUGUUAGGGAAGAACAAGUGCUAGUUGAAUAAGCUGGCACCUUGACGGUACCUAACCAGAAAGCCACGGCUAACUACGUGCCAGCCGCCGCAGUAA